rnacentral:rRNA from 1 species
UACGUAGGGGGCAAGCGUUGUCCGGAAUCAUUGGGCGUAAAGAGCGUGUAGGCGGCCCGGUAAGUCCGCUGUGAAAGUCCAGGGCUCAACCCUGGGAUGCCGGUGGAUACUGUCGGGCUCGAGUCCGGAAGAGGAGUGUGGAAUUCCCGGUGUAGCAGUGAAAUGCGUAGAGAUCGGGAGGAACAUCAGUUGCGAAGGCGGCUCUCUGGACCAGCACUGACACUGAGGCACGAAAGCGUGGGGAGCAAACAGG